rnacentral:lncRNA from 1 species
AUGGCAGCUGUGAGUCUGACGGAUCCACUUUGCAAGCCUUGCUCUUACAGCCCACAUUUCAAAGUUGAGGUGUGCGUGAGGAAGCCCUUGAUGCCCAUCCACCUGAGCAGGGAGCAGGUGGCACUGGAAAUGCUAUGUCUUUGCAGCCAGAUGGACCUCCUGAUCAGAGCUCAGGUGCAUCAGCAGUUUCAGGAGCAGCUCAAACAGGACACAAGUCCUGAAGAGUCUGAGAGUUUUCAAAAACAAGGGGCAGAGAUAAUAUAUCAGAUGAACCAGUGCCUUGAACAUCUCAAUGAACCGGUGCUUCAGCUUGAGGAGUAUUUGGAUGUUGUAGGAUUAUCUACUCUGUUCCCUCGAGUGGAAGUUUAUAUGAUACAUGGAAGCCCUGUUGACAUGUUGGAAAGACCACCUUCAGAUGUUUAUUUUCCUCAUAUUGGGAGGCUGAAUCAGCUGCUGGUUCUCAGUCAGCAGUUAGAUGAAGAUGUGAAGCAUCUGGGCAGUCAUAAGUACGUCGCACAUCAGCUAUCAGCAAUUUACCAAGUCCUAAACUCUCUCAAAGAUAUUGUGCCAUUAUCCGUCAUAAGAAAGGAUAUUGAGGCUAAUUUCAAGCAGCUGAAGAAGUCUCUUUCAAUAGAGGAGGGGUCCAAGCUGGAUCCUCAGUUGCCAGCACAUCGCGUGAGCUGGGUGUCAGAAUUAACACAAAACGUGAUAUCAGCGGUACUGUCACUCUCAGAAGAGCUCACCGAAGACCUCAGUCCAGUCAUGGAAUUUGUCUCUAACCUCUCGUAA